rnacentral:rRNA from 1 species
UACGGGGGGGGCAAGCGUUGUUCGGAAUUACUGGGCGUAAAGGGCGCGUAGGCGGUUUGCUAAGUUGAAUGUGAAAACUCUGGGCUUAACCCAGAGCCUGCAUUCAAUACUGGCAGGCUAGAGUUCUGGAGGGGAUAGCGGAAUUCCUGGUGUAGCGGUGAAAUGCGUAGAUAUCGAGAGGAACACCUGCGGCGAAGGCGGGUUGCUGGGCUGACACUGACGCUGAUGUGCGAAAGCUAGGGGAGCGAACGGG